UGGGAAUUUUGGACAAUGGGCGCAAGCCUGAUCCAGCAAUGCCGCGUGCAGGAUGAAGGCCUUCGGGUUGUAAACUGCUUUUGUACGGAACGAAAAGCCUCUCUCUAAUACAGGGGGGUGAUGACGGUACCGUAAGAAUAAGCACCGGCUAACUACGUGCCAGCAGCCGCGGUAAUACGUAGGGUGCAAGCGUUAAUCGGAAUUACUGGGCGUAAAGCGUGCGCAGGCGGUUUUGUAAGACAGUGGUGGAAUCCCCGGGCUCAACCUGGGAACUGCCAUUGUGACUGCAAGGCUGAGUGCGGCAGAGGGGGGAUGGAAUUCCGCGUGUAGCAGCGAAAUGCGUAGAUAUGCGGAGGAACACCGAUGGCGAAGGCAAUCCCCUGGGCCUGCACUGACGCUCAUGCACGAAAGCGUGGGGAGCAAACAGAUUAGAUACCCUGGUAGUCCACGCCCUAAAACGAUGUCAACUGGUUGUUGGGGAUUUAUUUCUUCAGUAACGAAGCUAACGCGUGAAGUUGACCGCCUGGGGGAGUAC
rnacentral:rRNA from 1 species